UGCCAGCAGCCGCGGUAAUACGUAGGGUGCGAGCGUUGUCCGGAAUUACUGGGCGUAAAGAGCUCGUAGGUGGUUUGUCGCGUUGUUCGUGAAAUCUCACGGCUUAACUGUGAGCGUGCGGGCGAUACGGGCAGACUAGAGUACUGCAGGGGAGACUGGAAUUCCUGGUGUAGCGGUGGAAUGCGCAGAUAUCAGGAGGAACACCGGUGGCGAAGGCGGGUCUCUGGGCAGUAACUGACGCUGAGGAGCGAAAGCGUGGGGAGCGAACAGGAUUAGAUACCCUGGUAGUCCACGCCGUAAACGGUGGGUACUAGGUGUGGGUUUCCUUCCUUGGGAUCCGUGCCGUAGCUAACGCAUUAAGUACCCCGCCUGGGGAGUACGGCCGCAAGGCUAAAAACUCAAAGGAAUUGACGGGGGCCCGCACAAGCGGCGGAGCAUGUGGAUUAAUUCGAUGCAACGCGAAGAACCUUACCUGGGUUUGACAUGCACAGGACGCGUCUAGAGAUAGGCGUUCCCUUGUGGCCUGUGUGCAGGUGGUGCAUGGCUGUCGUCAGCUCGUGUCGUGAGAUGUUGGGUUAAGUCCCGCAACGAGCGCAACCCCCGUCUCAUGUUGCCAGCGGGUAAUGCCGGGGACUCGUGAGAGACUGCCGGGGUCAACUCGGAGGAAGGUGGGGAUGACGUCAAGUCAUCAUGCCCCUUAUGUCCAGGGCUUCACACAUGCUACAAUGGCCGGUACAAAGGGCUGCGAUGCCGCAAGGUUAAGCGAAUCCUUUUAAAGCCGGUCUCAGUUCGGAUCGGGGUCUGCAACUCGACCCCGUGAAGUCGGAGUCG
rnacentral:rRNA from 1 species